AAAAAAGAGAAAAGUAAGAAAAGAAGUGGAAGAAGAGGAAGGGGGUUUCUCAUGUGCACACCUUUGUGACCUUGCCAAGCCGACUCGAUUGUGCAGCAUGACACCCGGUCCCUCGAUUAGCGACUAAUAGAGCGAGAGCAUUGUUGACGGCGAUUUUUGGGAGUUGGAAAAGUGGUGGUUAGAUGCUACAUCCUUUGAGUGGAAGGACGGCCGUGUCAUCCCCAUCCCAACAAGGAUUCUAGGUGUGAUAGAAGAAACAACAAAGAAAGACACAAAAAGAAUCCCUUAAAAAUACCCAAACAUUCUGAAGUUCUGAGUAGCAGUUGAAGGGAGACCAAGAGAGGAGAACGGAUACAGAGAGUCGAUGGCCACUUUGCAGAGGAUUGUAGGUCUCACGUUUAACCUCCUUUGGAUUGGCAACGUCGCGAGUGGCGCUCCCGACUUGACCGCAACGUACGCAGGAUGCAAUCUACAAACGUAUGAAGCCGGUGAUGGUUACGCCUCUAGCGUAGUGUACAUUGUUUCGGCCUUAGAGAGCGCGACGCCCAGCAUCCCAGGUUACGAUUAUUACAUAUCGUCUACUUAUCCGGCGGCGAUUGUCUAUGGCCACGCAGCCUGCAAUUCAGCACUUUCUGUUGCGGACUGCAUCACGUGCAUCGAUUAUGUGAAAACAGAUAUGCUUAUCUAUUGUCCUAAUAAUAUAGGGGCACAAUUAGUCCUCCACGAUUGCCGGAUGAGGUACGAACAUCAUCCUUUCACCGAAUGAUCGACCAGUGGCUCGUAUCAAGCUAAUAAGAUCUUCAUUUUCUUUCUGCUAAAGCUCCAUCAAUAACGAAAGCCUUAUGUUGUUAUGUGAGAAUUAUGAUGGGAAAGUUGGCAACAUCCUCAAUCAUUGUAGUUGAGUUACAUCUUAGAGUUUGGUCAUGAUCCAUUUGUUAUAUGUAAUUUGGUGAGAGAUGUGUCAUCUCACGAUUCCCUUCUUCUUAUGUUUCGUCUACAGUAUUCGAAAUAAAAAUUCCACCAACUUCGCUAUCA